rnacentral:rRNA from 1 species
UACGUAGGGUGCAAGCGUUGUCCGGAAUUAUUGGGCGUAAAGAGCUCGUAGGCGGUUUGUCGCGUCUGCUGUGAAAACGCGAGGCUCAACCUCGCGCCUGCAGUGGGUACGGGCAGACUGGAGUGUGGUAGGGGAGAUCGAAUUCCUGGUGUAGCGGUGAAAUGCGCAGAUAUCAGGAGGAACACCGGUGACGAAGGCGGAUCUCUGGGCCAUUACUGACGCUGAGGAGCGAAAGCGUGGGGAGCGAACAGG